rnacentral:rRNA from 2 species
CCAAGGAAGGCAGCAGGCGCGCAAAUUACCCCACUCCCAGAACGGGGAGGUAGUGACGAAAAAUAACAAUACGGGACUCUUUUGAGACCCCGUAAUUGGAAUGAGUACACUCUAAAUCCUUUAACGAGGAUCCAUUGGAGAGCAAGUCUGGUGCCAGCAGUCGCGGUAAUUCCAGCUCCAAUAGCGUAUAUUAAAGUUGUUGCGGUUAAAAAGCUCGUAGUUGGAUCUCAGAUCCUGCCGGACGGUCCGCCUACCGGUGGUUACUGUUCGCUGCAGAUCGUUCAGGCGGUUAUUCUUGAUGAUCUUCACCGGUUGUCUCGGGUGACCGCCAAGUUUACUUUGAAAAAAUUAGAGUGCUCAACGCAGACUAGAACGUCUGAAUAAUUGUGCAUGGAAUAAUGGAAUAGGACCUCGGUUCUAUUUUGUUGGUUUUCGGAACACGAGGUAAUGAUUAAGAGGGACAGACGGGGGCAUUCGUAUUGCGACGCUAGAGGUGAAAUUCUUGGACCGUCGCAAGACGAACUACUGCGAAAGCAUUUGCCAAGAAUGUUUCCAUUAAUCAAGAACGAAAGUUAGAGGUUCGAAGGCGAUCAGAUACCGCCCUAGUUCUAACCAUAAACGAUGCCAGCCAGCGAUCCGGCUGUGUUCCUCAAAUGACACGCCGGGCAGCUUCCGGGAAACCAAAGCUUUUGGGUUCCGGGGGAAGUAUGGUGCA